rnacentral:misc_RNA from 1 species
AAGUCGUAACAAGGUUUCCGUAGGUGAACCUGCGGAAGGAUCAUUACCGAGUUCAUGCCCUUCGGGGUAGAUCUCCCACCCUUUGUAUACUAUACCUUUGUUGCUUUGGCGGGCCGCCUAGCUACUGGCUUCGGCUGGUAAGUGCCCGCCAGAGGACCCAAAACCCUGAAUAUUAGUGUCGUCUGAGUAAAAAGUUUAAUAUUUAAAACUUUCAACAACGGAUCUCUUGGCUCUG